AUUUUAGCUAAAUAAUCCUACCAAUCUAACAAAUUAAACCCUAGCCUCCAACACAACCUUUACCAGCCUGUCGAAGCUUCCGUACAGCGAAAGAACCCAUAGCCAGAGCGACUACGAUGGUCUUCUCUUCUUCGAGCACGCUCGCAAGACUACCGAAGUUUCCUACAGCCAGAACCCUUUAUGCUGAUUUUCAUGGCUUCGAAAUACUGAUGAUGUAAAAUUUUCAUCAAAUAUGUGAAGAGACGAUGGACAAGCCAAUUGCAAUUACAAUCCCUGAAUGAACAGUUUUCUGUUGAAGGAUCCCAGAGAUAUCGAGGUUUGUAUCGCCAUCAAAAUGAAAUCAGGGACUUCUUAACACAUCUAUUAAAAAUAUUUCAAUUUUUUUUUUUAGAAACCGAAUUCGAUUUAAACUUAAUUUGAAGUAUUACGAUUCGCAUUCUGCAUCUGCCGCUCGCUUGGUCUCUAUCAAUCCUACAGGUUGCAUGGCUUGCGCGGAGGCCCAAUAGAACUGUAAGGGGCACAACAAUGUCUUGCGAUCAUUUUACUGCGACGGAGUUGGUGGCUUUCGAUAGCGACAACGAUAGUGAGAUAAUCGAUGAGUGCAUCAUCAUCAAAUGUGACUGUGAGUGCAAGAACAAAAAAACAAUUGUAACAUUGAGUGGGAAAAUAGUUGCUCAAAUGGAGUGGUGGAGCAUUGUGGAGCAACUUUCGUCUACUAAAUAUAAUUAUCUCAUUAUAGUAGUUUUAGCAAUUUUUCUACGAUGAGGAAAGAAAAAAAGUGAUGGGAAGUUGCUUGUAAUUUUGAUUUUUGCCCCUAUAUUUUAUUUACCAUUUUUGUAAUAAUUAAGUUACCAUUUUGAUUUAUUAUAUUCUAACACCAAUUAACAUUUUCUUUUAGCUUAUAAAUGUUUUGAAGGAACCUUGUUUGGAUUUGAGUAUCUUUGUGCAACACUUGCAAUUGAGUGGCUACACAAUUCUGCCUUCAUAUUUCAUGAUAUACUUAUAAAUGUUAACUUUUAUUCUUUAUAUGUUUUUUUAUGUGAUUCAACUAUUACUGUUACUUGUGGUUUCUUCUCGGAUCAGGUUAUUGUGAUGCUGCUGAAUGUGCGCUGCCGUGCAAUAAUGUUGCAACUCAGUGCUCACUGCUCAGGGUGUGAAGUUGGUUAUUCCAUGUCUCUUAAAGGUCUUGAAGAUAAAGCUUGGUGAACAAAUCAAAGUAGUGAUUAUUACUUGGUGCAAUGAGGUACAAUGCUCAUAGAAAAUUUCCCUGUGUCUCCCUAAGAUUUUCCAAGAUGUCUCAGGUUUAGACAAAUACCCAUCCAAAAGUCCAGCUAGCUAGGCAAAUAACACUUCAACAAUUUUUUUUUCUUUCUAAUUCAUAUAGUAGUUCUUUGUUCUAUAGCAAUUGUAAUUCAUAUACUAUGUUUAGGUGGGGCGUGUAAUAAAAAAUUCAGAAAUAUAUUCUCUUGUUCCUAUGCUUUUGAUGGGUCUUACAGAUCUCAAUGACCAUACAAUAUACUCCCUUCAUUUUCUUUUAGAAGUAAAGUAAGAUUAAGGAUUAAAAUCUAAAUUUGUAACAUUCUGAGUUUAUAAAAAAUACUAACUCAACUAACUUAAUCAUUUA